rnacentral:sRNA from 1 species
UCACAGUUUUGAGCGUUGGCGAGGUCGGC